GAUGGACGCUAGCUACAGGCUUAACACAUGCAAGUCGAGGGCAGCACAGUGUAGCAAUACAUGGGUGGCGACCGGCGCAAGGGUGCGUAACGCGUGAGCAACUUGCCCGUUUCUGGGGAAUAACCGGUGGAAACGCCGACUAAUACCCCAUAGUAUAACGAAGAGGCAUCUUUUUGUAUUAAAGAAAUUCGGAAACGGAUAGGCUCGCGUGACNUUAGCUAGAUGGCGGGUAACGGCCCACCAUGGCGACGAUGGUCUAGGGGUUCUGAGAGGAAGGUCCCCACACUGGAACUGAGACACGGUCCAGACUCCACGGGAGGCAGCAGUGAGGAAUAUUGGUCAAUGGUCGAGAGACUGAACCAGCCAUGCCGCGUGAAGGUCAGGCCCUA
rnacentral:rRNA from 1 species